CUUCAAGAGCUCCUAUCGACAAGUNGGUUUACGACCUCGAUGUUGGAUCAGGGUAUCCCAGUGGUGCAGCCGCUACUAAAGGUUCGUUUGUUCAACGAUUAAAACCCUACGUGAUCUGAGUUCAGACCGGAGUAAUCCAGGUCAGUUUCUAUCUAUAAAAGAGUUUUUUCUAGUACGAAAGGACCGAAAAAACAUGGCCCAUACUUAAUGCAAGCCAUAAUUAUUAACUUAUGACCAAAUCUUAAUAAGUACCUAAUUCACCGCCUAACUCAAAAAAAGAGUA
rnacentral:rRNA from 1 species